GAGGAUAUAGCUCAAUGGUAGAGUGCAUGCUCAGCACGCGCGAGGUCCUGGGUUCAAUCCCCAGUACUUCCA
rfam:Camelus ferus unplaced genomic scaffold scaffold100, whole genome shotgun sequence.